CGAACGGGUGAGUAACGCGUGGGGAAUCUGCCUUUGAGCGGGGGACAACAUUUGGAAACGAAUGCUAAUACCGCAUAAAAACUUUAAACACAAGUUUUAAGUUUGAAAGAUGCAAUUGCAUCACUCAAAGAUGAUCCCGCGUUGUAUUAGCUAGUUGGUGAGGUAAAGGCUCACCAAGGCGAUGAUACAUAGCCGACCUGAGAGGGUGAUCGGCCACAUUGGGACUGAGACACGGCCCAGACUCCUACGGGAGGCAGCAUG
rnacentral:rRNA from 1 species